rnacentral:rRNA from 1 species
CGGCGAGUGAAGCGGGAUGAGCUCAAAUUUGAAAGCUGGCCUCACGGUCCGCAUUGUAAUUUCGAGAGAUGUUUUCCGCGUUGGACCACGUACAAGUCUCCUGGAAAGGAGUGUCAUAGAGGGUGAUAACCCCGUACUUGAUGUGGACGCCCAAGGCUUUGUGAUACAUCUUCGACGAGUCGAGUUGUUUGGGAAUGCAGCUCCAAAUGGGUGGUAAAUUCCAUCUAAAGCUAAAUAUUGGGGAGAGACCGAUAGCGAACAAGUACCGUGAGGGAAAGAUGAAAAGCACUUUGGAAAGAGAGUUAAACAGUACGUGAAAUUGUCAAAAGGGAAGCACUGGAGGUUAGACGUGUGCGGUCGGAUUCAGCUUUUUUUUAAAAGUGUAUUUCCGGUCGUACAGGCCAGCAUCGGUUUUCUGGGCCGGAUAAGGGUAGGAGGAACGUAGCUUUCUUCGGAAAGUGUUAUAGCCUCUUGCUUGAUACGGCUUGGGGGACCGAGGCAUGCAGCGCGCCCUUGUGGCGGACCUUUGGGACCUUCGCCUUAGGAUGCUGCGU